AAUCAAAUAAAUGCUAAUGAGUAGAAAUAUUUUAUAUUAUAGAUCAAGAAUCCAAAGAAGAACGAGGAAAAGAAAAAGUAAAGGACUAAAUUGUAAGGUUUAGUCACAUUUUGUAUCAAGUUUUUAUCAAGCCACUCGGGGAUCGAAGGAAAUGUCGGAGACCGAUCACACUAUCGAAGAAACCACAUUGGUAUAGUUAAACGUUUCGUUUUGUGUAUGGCAUGUAUAGGAACUUGGUUUCUUUUAAUAUGAUAUGAUCAAUGAAUGAUGUGUAAAUACUUUCUAGUGAUUAACUAAUAGAAUGGCUGAUGAUAUACAUGUUUAAUAGUAUGUAUGAUUAAGUAGUAACUAUCACAUGAAAACUAUGAAAAAUGUGAAAGUAACUUAAAAACA